AUUCUUUAUAAUCAACUCUAACUUCCUAUAUAACAUUCUUUAUAUGAAUGUGUUACAUAAAUAAUUAAAUAUAUACUGUUACUUUUAGUAAAAUGGUCUUAACUUAAAUCAGUCUUUAUUAUACUCUAUUUGCCUGUUAUCACGUUGACUUCCGAAAUAUUGUGAUAUAUGCGUAGACUAAUAUAUGCAUUUCAGCUUUAUCAAACCAAACUGUCACCAUAUCUGUCAGCCUUAAAAUUGGUAAAAACAGCUACCCAAUAUUUCUUGAUCUGAUCUACAUAGUCUCAGAGCAUAAAAUUGUGAACUGCCACCUACCUUUGGUUUGUGACUUUUAUUCAAUAUUUGUUGAAAGAAUGGGAAAGCAUCUAUCCAGGUAUUGUCUGUAGAGCUAAAUACCUAUUGUCAUUUUAUAUUUUGUUCUAAUUAAUGAUGUGGAAGAUGAUUGGGAUAUUGCUUGCAUUUUAUAUACGAAAUAAUGGCUGAAACAUUCCUUAUGCAUCUUAUGCUAUAAAGCAUGGAGUACUUCUAAAAUGGUGAAGUACCCAUACUUGGUGGUUACCCGGUACUAGUACUAGUACUAGUACUUGUACCAUAUUUGUGGGUAUGCUGUUUUUAUUUAUUUUAUUUCGAGUGAAAUUCAUGAUUUUGUUAUAUAAUAAUUUAAUAUUAUUUGCUUAUUUGAGUUUAUUUGUUAUUGUAAUCGAACACAAUUUGUGUGUUUUUAGACAUUUAUAUUGAUUUUGUAUUGAGAAUUGAACAAUUUAACUCUCUUAGUUAAAUUAUAUAAAAAAAUUAAUGUUUUUCAUUGAUGUAUCCAUAGCUUAAUUUUUUUAAAAAAAAAUACCAUAUCCCGUACUGGUACCAGUAACUGAUACUACUACCAUACCUAUGCGUGAUAGAUCUUAUGCUGAUACAAUUUUCAGGCCAUCGUAUUGAUGUUACCAUAUAUUUCCUCUGAUUAUGAUAUCAUUGUGCAAACAUAUCGGUAUGUGAACAUGAGUUUGAAGUAGAGGUUGUGUCGUUGGGUUGGGCUCUAUGCUCACUAAGCUUGAUUAUGAUUUGCAUCGGAAGAUUAGGUGCACAGGCUUGAAGCGUGGUAAUGAGCUACACAAUUUUUGAUAUAGUCAAUGACAAAUAAUUUUUUGGAAAUUCUCUUGAAAUAUGUACCUGAUCCCAUGCUCUCUCAUAUCUCGUGUCAUUUUUUUCAAUAGUACCUUGCCAGUUUUCUACUUCUGCAUUAGACUUUUUAUGCUUUAGUUUUCUUAUAGAAUAUCUUUUUCUUUGUUGGACUUCAUCUGAGUACUAAAGAGCUAAAAAGCUAAAAAGCUUAUUGAAUAGAGAGCAUACACAGAGAAAAUAAAUAUGUAUACUGAAUAAUUAAGCAAAAGACUGAAUGUUUUUUCCUUCCAAAGUAGCUCUCCCCUCUCAUUAUAGCUGUUGAAUUAGUCAUCAGCCAAUUCUUUUAAAAAUAAUGUAUAUAAUUAUAGUUGUCAACAUAGUUGGUUUAGUAUUGUGAAGAGGAUAGUUGCUUGGCUACCUAAGAACUAGUUUUAUAACUUAGAAAUGAGAAUCAUUAUUUAAUCAUGGUUCAUGUUGUGUGGCGAAUGCUGCGGACUGAUGUUUUUUUUUUUUUUUUUCUUUUCCAGUUAUAUAAAUAUGUUUAUUCAAUGGAUUUGAUUAUGUUGUGUUAUGCUUGUUUCGCUUAAUUCCUCGGUUCUGUUGGUAUAUUCAAGUCCUUCAAAUCUUCAAUGAUAUUUUGGUUUAUAAUUACAUAUAUAUGUUAUUUAUCACAGGAUUCUGAUUUGAUGUCUUGUAAUUUAUAACUUUGAUGGCACAGAAAUUUGAAAUAGUCAUUGAGGAUCAAGCUGGAAAACAGUUCAAAUGUAGGAUCAAUUGAGGAAGCCGAAAUGACAAAUCAAUGGAUUGAUUUAUUUAGGGAUUUGAUAUAUGAAUACUUGAUUUGCUCGGCAUUGUAAAGACAUCCACAACUUUCUCUUUUUGUUAUGAGCAUUUUAAGAUUCCCUUCAUUAAGUGGCUACAAACCUUUUUGUGAAUCCCCAAAACAAAAUACGGGUACCUGGUCGCAUGUGCAAGAGCGAAGUGAUCGUUAUAUUUUUUUUAGCUUUCCUACUUUUAUGGUUGCAUGUGCAAAAGUGAAGUGGUCAUUAUAUUUUUUUAGCUUUCUUACUUUCAUUUCUACGGGUCAAGUGGAUAUGCUUUGAUUGCUUGUUGCUCCAGGUUAGGACUAAAAACUAAAAUAUUUGGAUUCUUACCCCAUUUUCAACAUGUUUUCUGUUUUGUGUCUACCUAAUUCAGCAUGCCUUGAAUUAUUUAGUACUUGGGUUACACAUUAUAUUAAAGAUUUUGUCUAUAGGUUUGAAGUAGGACACAUAAGAUUUUGCCUUUAAGUGAAACUAUUUACUACUUGGGUUUGCACUUUGCACACGUGUCAGUAUAAUACUAUAGUUCACUGUCCUACAUUUCCAUGUGUUAUAUUUGACUAGACAAAUACUUAUUCAAUUUCAUCAACUCCAAUUA